UACGUAGGGACCAAGCGUUGUUCGGAUUUACUGGGCGUAAAGGGCGCGUAGGCGGCGUGACAAGUCACUUGUGAAAUCUCUGAGCUUAACUCAGAACGGCCAAGUGAAACUGUUGUGCUAGAGUGCGGAAGGGGCAAUCGGAAUUCUUGGUGUAGCGGUGAAAUGCGCAGACAUCAGGAGGAACACCGGUGGCGAAGGCGGGUCUCUGGGCAGUAGCUGACACUGAUGCGCGACAGCGUGGGGAGCAAACAGG
rnacentral:rRNA from 1 species